AGUGAACGCUGGCGGCAGGCCUAACACAUGCAAGUCGAGCGGCAGCGCGGGGGCAACCCUGGCGGCGAGCGGCGGACGGGUGAGGAAUUCGUCGGAAUCUGCCUUUUUGUGGGGGAUAACGUAGGGAAACUUACGCUAAUACCGCAUACGUCCUACGGGAGAAAGUGGGGGACCGCAAGGCCUCACGCAGAAAGAUGAGCCGACGACCGAUUAGCUAGUUGGUGGGGUAAAGGCCCACCAAGGCGACGAUCGGUAGCUGGUCUGAGAGGAUGAUCAGCCACACUGGGACGGAGACACGGCCCAGACUCCUACGGGAGGCAGCAGUGGGGAAUAUUGGACAAUGGGGGCAAGCCUGAUCCAGCCAUGCCGCGUGUGUGAAGAAGGCCUUCGGGUUGUAAAGCACUUUUGUCCGGAAAGAAAUCCCUGGAGCUAAUACCUUCGGGGGAUGACGGUACCGGAAGAAUAAGCACCGGCUAACUUCGUG
rnacentral:rRNA from 1 species